rnacentral:rRNA from 1 species
UGGGGGAUAUUGCACAAUGGGCGAAAGCCUGAUGCAGCGACGCCGCGUGGGGGAUGAAGGCCUUCGGGUUGUAAACUUCUUUUGCUCUGAACAAGGCAUGCUAAUGGGUGUGUUGAGUGUAGGGGUUGAUUAGCGCCGGCUAACUACGUGCCAGCAGCCGCGGUAAUACGUAGGGCGCGAGCGUUGUCCGGAAUUAUUGGGCGUAAAGGGCUUGUAGGUGGCUGGUUGCGUCUGUCGUGAAAGCUCAUGGCUUAACUGUGGGUUUGCGGUGGGUACGGGCUGGCUUGAGUGCAGUAGGGGAGGCUGGAAUUCCUGGUGUAGCGGUGGAAUGCGCAGAUAUCAGGAGGGAUAGCGGUGGAGAAGGCGGGUCUCUGGGCUGUUACUGACACUGAGGAGCGAAAGCAUGGGGAGCGAACAGG